ACGAGUGGCGGACGGGUGAGUAACACGUAGGUAACCUGCCCAGAAGCGGGGGACAACAUUUGGAAACAGAUGCUAAUACCGCAUAACAGCGUUGUUCGCAUGAACAACGCUUAAAAGAUGGCUUCUCGCUAUCACUUCUGGAUGGACCUGCGGUGCAUUAGCUUGUUGGUGGGGUAACGGCCUACCAAGGCGAUGAUGCAUAGCCGAGUUGAGAGACUGAUCGGCCACAAUGGGACUGAGACACGGCCCAUACUCCUACGGGAGGCAGCAGUAGGGAAUCUUCCACAAUGGGCGCAAGCCUGAUGGAGCAACACCGCGUGAGUGAAGAAGGGUUUCGGCUCGUAAAGCUCUGUUGUUAAAGAAGAACACGUAUGAGAGUAACUGUUCAUACGUUGACGGUAUUUAACCAGAAAGUCACGGCUAACUACGUGCCAGCAGCCGCGGUAAUACGUAGGUGGCAAGCGUUAUCCGGAUUUAUUGGGCGUAAAGAGAGUGCAGGCGGUUUUCUAAGUCUGAUGUGAAAGCCUUCGGCUUAACCGGAGAAGUGCAUCGGAAACUGGAUAACUUGAGUGCAGAAGAGGGUAGUGGAACUCCAUGUGUAGCGGUGGAAUGCGUAGAUAUAUGGAAGAACACCAGUGGCGAAGGCGGCUACCUGGUCUGCAACUGACGCUGAGACUCGAAAGCAUGGGUAGCGAACAGGAUUAGAUACCCUGGUAGUCCAUGCCGUAAACGAUGAGUGCUAGGUGUUGGAGGGUUUCCGCCCUUCAGUGCCGGAGCUAACGCAUUAAGCACUCCGCCUGGGGAGUACGACCGCAAGGUUGAAACUCAAAGGAAUUGACGGGGGCCCGCACAAGCGGUGGAGCAUGUGGUUUAAUUCGAAGCUACGCGAAGAACCUUACCAGGUCUUGACAUCUUGCGCCAACCCUAGAGAUAGGGCGUUUCCUUCGGGAACGCAAUGACAGGUGGUGCAUGGUCGUCGUCAGCUCGUGUCGUGAGAUGUUGGGUUAAGUCCCGCAACGAGCGCAACCCUUGUUACUAGUUGCCAGCAUUAAGUUGGGCACUCUAGUGAGACUGCCGGUGACAAACCGGAGGAAGGUGGGGACGACGUCAGAUCAUCAUGCCCCUUAUGACCUGGGCUACACACGUGCUACAAUGGACGGUACAACGAGUCGCGAACUCGCGAGGGCAAGCAAAUCUCUUAAAACCGUUCUCAGUUCGGACUGCAGGCUGCAACUCGCCUGCACGAAGUCGGAAUCGCUAGUAAUCGCGGAUCAGCAUGCCGCGGUGAAUACGUUCCCGGGCCUUGUACACACCGCCCGUCACACCAUGAGAGUUUGUAACACCCAAAGUCGGUGGGGUAACCUUUUAGGAGCCAGCCGCCUAAG
rnacentral:rRNA from 1 species